CCUACGGGAGGCAGCAGUGAGGAAUAUUGGUCAAUGGGAGGAAUCCUGAACCAGCCAUGCCGCGUGCAGGACGACGGCUCUACGAGUUGUAAACUGCUUUUGUACCGGGGUAAAAUGCUCUACGUGUAGGGUUUUGAAAGUACGGUAUGAAUAAGGAUCGGCUAACUCCGUGCCAGCAGCCGCGGUAAUACGGAGGAUCCGAGCGUUAUCCGGAUUGAUUGGGUUUAAAGGGAGCGUAGGUUGUUUUAUAAGUUAGUGGUGAAAUACCGAUGCUCAACAGCGGAGCUGCAGCUGAUACUGGAGGACUUGAGUUCGGAUGCGGCAGGCGGAAUGUGUGGUGUAGCGGUGAAAUGCAUAGAUAUUACGCAGAACACCGAUUGCGAAGGCAGCUUGCUAGACCGGAUCUGACACUGAUGCACGAAAGCGUGGGGAUCGAACAGGAUUAGAUACCCCUGUAGUC
rnacentral:rRNA from 1 species